UUUGCAGCAGGGGAAUGGCAAGAUGAGACCUGCUUUUAUUGGAACUGAGCUGGAACCGAUGGGGAGUGGGGAGGAGGCUGCAGCAGGUGGGGAGAGUGAAAAUGAGUGAGCCGAGCAGCCGGAUGGACCCAGAGAUCCUCAGAGCCUUGCCCGUUCUUCCGUAGCAGUUCCAGACAGCCACGGCCACCUGGUCCUGGUCCUCGGGAGUACCGACACAACUGCCACCCUAAAGGGCACCAGGAACUCUACCUCCAUCAGCUCGCAGAUGGUCACCGUGGCAGCUGUCUCUAAGGAGGGUGUUCACUCCUCUUCCACAGAUGACAAAACUGAGACUCCAAGAAGCCAAGUGACUUGUGUAAGGACAAACGGUAACCAAGGCGCAGGGGAAGCAGCCAGCCUUUGCCAGUCUGACUCCAAAGUUCAAGUUCUAUGUACACCCCAGGUAGCUUGGCAAACCACCCACUUCUCGAACAGGAAGGCCUCAACCCUGCCGUUCACAAAGGAGGAAAAAGACAGUGUGUGCAGGCCCCCAGGCACAGGACAGACAAGAUUCGGUGCUAGAAUAUUCAAAGUGAUUUUGAAACCCAGCGCCUCUUAGUAAUAACAAUACCAGUUUCGGUCAUUUGCAUAACUUUCUACCGUUAACAAAAGGUAUCCCCAGCAGUUAAUUACAAUGACAAAGAAGGCACAAGGAGGCCGGGGCGGUGGUUCACGCCUGUAAUCCCAGCACUUUGGGAGGCCGAGGCAAGUGGAUCACCUGAGGUUAGGAGCUCAGCCUGGCCAACAUGGUGAAACCCC
rnacentral:lncRNA from 1 species